rnacentral:misc_RNA from 1 species
UCAAAACAGCGGACUUCGGUCGCUGCCGCCGGCACCGCUCUUACCUUUGCGCACCGUAUUGUUGCUUCCUCGGCGGGCUUGCCUGCCGGUUGGACAUUAUCAAAACCUUUGUAUAGUAGCAUGCAGCUCGAGAAAACGAGAAUUAGUA